rnacentral:rRNA from 1 species
AGUGAACGCUGGCGGUAGGCCUAACACAUGCAAGUCGAACGGCGGCACAGUAAGAGCUUGCUCUUACGGGUGGCGAGUGGCGGACGGGUGAGGAAUACAUCGGAAUCUACUUUUUCGUGGGGGAUAACGUAGGGAAACUUACGCUAAUACCGCAUACGACCUACGGGUGAAAGCAGGGGAUCUUCGGACCUUGCGCGAUUGAAUGAGCCGAUGUCGGAUUAGCUAGUUGGCGGGGUAAAGGCCCACCAAGGCGACGAUCCGUAGCUGGUCUGAGAGGAUGAUCAGCCACACUGGAACUGAGAAACGGUCCAGACUCCUACGGGAGGCAGCAGUGGGGAAUAUUGGACAAUGGGCGCAAGCCUGAUCCAGCCAUACCGCGUGGGUGAAGAAGGCCUUCGGGUUGUAAAGCCCUUUUGUUGGGAAAGAAAAGCAGCAGGUUAAUACCCCGCUGUUCUGACGGUACCCAAAGAAUAAGCACCGGCUAACUUCGUG